AUUGAACGCUGGCGGCAGGCUUAACACAUGCAAGUCGAGCGGUAGCACAAGAGAGCUUGCUCUCUGGGUGACGAGCGGCGGACGGGUGAGUAAUGUCUGGGAAACUGCCUGAUGGAGGGGGAUAACUACUGGAAACGGUAGCUAAUACCGCAUAACGUCGCAAGACCAAAGAGGGGGACCUUCUCGGGCCUCUUGCCAUCAGAUGUGCCCAGAUGGGAUUAGCUAGUAGGUGGGGUAAUGGCUCACCUAGGCGACGAUCCCUAGCUGGUCUGAGAGGAUGACCAGCCACACUGGAACUGAGACACGGUCCAGACUCCUACGGGAGGCAGCAGUGGGGAAUAUUGCACAAUGGGCGCAAGCCUGAUGCAGCCAUGCCGCGUGUGUGAAGAAGCCUUCGGGUUGUAAAGCACUUUCAGCGAGGAGGAAAGUGGGGAACUAAUACGUUCAUCAAUUGGCGUUACUCGCAGAAAAAACACGAAGCACCCGCUAACUCCGUGCCAGCAGCCGCGGUAAUACGGAGGGUGCAAGCGUUUAAUCGGAAUUACUGGGGCGUAAAGCGCACGCAGGCGGUUUGUUAAGUCAGAUGUGAAAUCCCCGGGCUCAACCUGGGAACUGCAUUUGAAACUGGCAAGCUAGAGUCUCGUAGAGGGGGGUAGAAUUCCAGGUGUAGCGGUGAAAUGCGUAGAGAUCUGGAGGAAUACCGGUGGCGAAGGCGGCCCCCUGGACGAAGACUGACGCUCAGGUGCGAAAGCGUGGGGAGCAAACAGGAUUAGAUACCCUGGUAGUCCACGCUGUAAACGAUGUCGAUUUGGAGGUUGUGCCCUUGAGGCGUGGCUUCCGGAGCUAACGCGUUAAAUCGACCGCCUGGGGAGUACGGCCGCAAGGUUAAAACUCAAAUGAAUUGACGGGGGCCCGCACAAGCGGUGGAGCAUGUGGUUUAAUUCGAUGCAACGCGAAGAACCUUACCUACUCUUGACAUCCAGAGAACUUUCCAGAGAUGGAUUGGUGCCUUCGGGAACUCUGAGACAGGUGCUGCAUGGCUGUCGUCAGCUCGUGUUGUGAAAUGUUGGGUUAAGUCCCGCAACGAGCGCAACCCUUAUCCUUUGUUGCCAGCGGUUCGGCCGGGAACUCAAAGGAGACUGCCAGUGAUAAACUGGAGGAAGGUGGGGAUGACGUCAAGUCAUCAUGGCCCUUACGAGUAGGGCUACACACGUGCUACAAUGGCAUAUACAAAGAGAAGCGACCUCGCGAGAGCAAGCGGACCUCAUAAAGUAUGUCGUAGUCCGGAUUGGAGUCUGCAACUCGACUCCAUGAAGUCGGAAUCGCUAGUAAUCGUAGAUCAGAAUGCUACGGUGAAUACGUUCCCGGGCCU
rnacentral:rRNA from 1 species